AAAUUGAAGAGUUUGAUCAUGGCUCAGAUUGAACGCUGGCGGCAGGCCUAACACAUGCAAGUCGAACGGUAACAGGAAACAGCUUGCUGAUUUGCUGACGAGUGGCGGACGGGUGAGUAAUGUCUGGGAAACUGCCUGAUGGAGGGGGAUAACUACUGGAAACGGUAGCUAAUACCGCAUAAUGUCGCAAGACCAAAGAGGGGGACCUUCGGGCCUCUUGCCAUCGGAUGUGCCCAGAUGGGAUUAGCUAGUAGGUGGGGUAACGGCUCACCUAGGCGACGAUCCCUAGCUGGUCUGAGAGGAUGACCAGCCACACUGGAACUGAGACACGGUCCAGACUCCUACGGGAGGCAGCAGUGGGGAAUAUUGCACAAUGGGCGCAAGCCUGAUGCAGCCAUGCCGCGUGUAUGAAGAAGGCCUUCGGGUUGUAAAGUACUUUCAGCGGGGAGGAAGGGAGUAAAGU
rnacentral:rRNA from 1 species